ensembl:lncRNA
CGCGAUUCAGUUUGAAUCAUUCGAGCAUUUGCACUCACGCGUUGGAUUGUUUGGAGCUGUUUGUCAUAGCAAAACACAAUCGGUAUAUUAUUGAGCACAGAUGAGAAAAGAUUAAGUGAUAGAAGAAAUGGAUGUCUACAAACGAUUGGAAUAAACGUCGUAUUUGCCACCGACCGAUGAAGAAACGUGCUGCUUGCGAACGACAGAAAAGAAACCCAGCAGUAUGUGUUUGGAACGUCAUGACAUCCCGUCUGAUCGACUGUGGUGGUCCUCUGCUCUGCCCUGGUGGGCAUCUGUUUCAUCUGCUCGGCUGUGGUGGUCCUCUGCUCCGCCCUGGUGGGCAUCUGUCUCGCCUGCUUGGCUGUGGUGGUCCUCUGCUCCCCCCUGGUGGGCAUCUGUCUCGCCUGCUCGGCUGUGGUGGUCCUCUGCUCCCCCCUGGUGGGCAUCUGUCUCGUCUUCUCGGUUGUGGUGGUCCUCUGCUCAGCCCCGGUGGGUUCCAGUUCUGCCCGCGCCGCCCCGGUGGGCUCCAGUUCCGCCUGCGCCACCCCGGGGGCGGGGGGGGUGGGGCUCCAGUUCUGCCUGCGCCACCCCGGUGGGCUCCAGUUCCGCCUGCGCCGCCCCGGUGGGCUCCAGUAUCGCCUCCGCCACCCGGUGGGCCCCAGUUCCGCCUGCUCCGCCCCGGUGGGCUCCAGUUCCACCUGCUCCACCCUGGCUUCCUGCUCUGUUGGCACUGCCUCGGUCCCCGGCCAAUCCACUUCCACCUCCGCUCCACCUCCCACCUGAACUCUGGUCUACUCUCAGUUAGGAGUGUCUGGAAGCCACUCCUUAGUUGA